rnacentral:rRNA from 1 species
GAUGAACGCUGGCGGCGUGCCUAAUACAUGCAAGUCGAGCGAACGGACGAGAAGCUUGCUUCUCUGAUGUUAGCGGCGGACGGGUGAGUAACACGUGGAUAACCUACCUAUAAGACUGGGAUAACUUCGGGAAACCGGAGCUAAUACCGGAUAAUAUUUUGAACCGCAUGGUUCAAAAGUGAAAGACGGUCUUGCUGUCACUUAUAGAUGGAUCCGCGCUGCAUUAGCUAGUUGGUAAGGUAACGGCUUACCAAGGCAACGAUGCAUAGCCGACCUGAGAGGGUGAUCGGCCACACUGGAACUGAGACACGGUCCAGACUCCUACGGGAGGCAGCAGUAGGGAAUCUUCCGCAAUGGGCGAAAGCCUGACGGAGCAACGCCGCGUGAGUGAUGAAGGUCUUCGGAUCGUAAAACUCUGUUAUUAGGGAAGAACAGAUGUGUAAGUAACUGUGCACAUCCUGACGGUACCUAAUCAGAAAGCCACGGCUAACUACGU